ACUCCUACGGGAGGCAGCAGUGGGGAAUUUUGGACAAUGGGCGAAAGCCUGAUCCAGCAAUGCCGCGUGAGUGAAGAAGGCCUUCGGGUUGUAAAGCUCUUUUGUCAGGGAAGAAACGGUGAAAGCUAAUAUCUUUUGCUAAUGACGGUACCUGAAGAAUAAGCACCGGCUAACUACGUGCCAGCAGCCGCGGUAAUACGUAGGGUGCAAGCGUUAAUCGGAAUUACUGGGCGUAAAGCGUGCGCAGGCGGUUUUGUAAGUCUGAUGUGAAAUCCCCGGGCUCAACCUGGGGAUUGCAUUGGAGACUGCAAGGCUAGAAUCUGGCAGAGGGGGGUAGAAUUCCACGUGUAGCAGUGAAAUGCGUAGAUAUGUGGAGGAACACCGAUGGCGAAGGCAGCCCCCUGGGUCAAGAUUGACGCUCAUGCACGAAAGCGUGGGGAGCAAACAGGAUUAGAUACCCGGGUAGUCCCAUGA
rnacentral:rRNA from 1 species